UUUCCGUAGGUGAACCAGCGGAGGGAUCAUUACAGAGUUGCAAAACUCCCAAACCAUUGUGAACGUUACCUAUCCCGUUGCUUCGGCGGGCGGCCCGGGCCCCGCGCCCGGCGCCCCCCGGCCCCCCGUGGGCGCCCGCCGGAGGUAAACCAAACCCUUGAAUUGCAUGGCCUCUCUGAGUCUUCUGUACUGAUUAAGUCAAAACUUUCAACAACGGAUCUCUUGGUUCUG
rnacentral:misc_RNA from 1 species